AAAAACAGGAAAUGUGUGGCCUAAAUAUGAAACUGAGCGAGCAGAAACAGCCGGCUUAUCUCUGCAGAGCAGCUCGUCAUUAUCUUUUAAUCUUUUAAUCUUUUAAUAGGUCACUGAGUCUGUUUGCGUGUGAUUGCAUGCUACAAUCGGUGACUGACCACGAGCUUUAGCAACUCUGCGGUGAAGCAUUCACACGCCAUGGCGUGUGUGAGGAGCUGCGCUGCUCAUCCUCAGGUCUGUGAGCUCAACACCUCCAGCAUGAGCACAGCUGCAGGGAGGGGGACGAGUCCGCUUUAGUUUGCAGAGGCUGCAACCAGCAGACGCCACAGCAGCGUCCUCUCCAACAAAAGCCUGCACCUCACGCAGAGGGCACCACAGCGACGCACAAGCACCACGACAACGUCACUGCAGAAUAAAGUCGACACAGGAAGCACAGAUCCAGCAAGAAGCCGUGAACAAUAUAAUCAUGGAUUGCAUUUAUAUAUAUAGCGCUUUACUAUUCAUUCACACACUGGUGGAGGCAGCUACGGUUGUAGCCACAGCUGCCCUGGCAGACUGACAGAAGCCAACACCAGUAGGCGGUCGGGACUACACGGUGUCCGCGGGCCGGACGCUGCUGCUCCCCUGCAGCGGCUCCUCCAAACCCAAACAGAGGUGGUUCCAGCAGAGGGAGGGCGAGAGGCGGGAGGCCGUCCUCACCAAGUACAGAAACGGUACGGUGAAACCAGAAAGGGGCGGCGGCCGGCUGAGCUUCACCAACGACGCCCUGCAGAUCCAGGACCUGCAGCCAGAGGACGCUGGAGAGUACGUCUGCAACGGGCUGCUGCAGGCCAGAGUCACGGUCCUCGCAGCACACGCAGAGACGAGCAGCCAGCCUCCGUCCACCAGCACACCUCCAUCACCUGCAGUGGUGACAGCCGAAGUGGGAGAAAUAAAGAAGAAGAGCAACAUGAGACCUGAGAACGUUCUGCUGCUGGUUGCUGUCGUCAGCGUGGGGUUGAUGAUCAUCUUCUUAGCUGCUGUCUGUGUGUUGCUGACCAGCAUGAAGUGCAGGAGGAGGAAACGCAGAGCUGCAGCAGCACCGACACGUGAAGACACAGAGCUGCAGCCGUGGACGGCGUCCAGCGCACCGACAGAGGGUGAGGACUUAGAGACCCCGCCCCUCUGUGGGGAGACGAUCCACUACGCCUCUCUGGGCCGACAGAACUGGAGAGAGAGACCCAGCAGGAGUCCGCCGGAGCAGAGCCACCACAGCGUCAUCUACUCCUCUGUCGUCAGCAGACCUGCAGCGAGAGCUGAGCACAAACUCUGAAAGUCUGAGUGUACGGUCGUGUGACGGGAAGCUUAGUUUCACCUGUGACACAAGCUGUUAAAAUCCUGUCAGUCAGUUUGGUUUCAUGUUUCACUCUCUGCUUCAGCAGCACAGCUGCUUUCACUGAGUCUUUACAUGUUACAGCGAGGACUCGUUCACAGGCGUCCACAUGUGGAGCGUCACAUCUGGAGCGGCGGCCAUCAGGACAGAUCGUGGUGUCAGAAUCAGUUUAUUAGUAACAGACAAAGUGUGGAACCUGUUCAUGGAAGCAGCACAGCAAACAUAUUUACAGCAGCAAUAUUCAGACACAGACAUAAAGAUUUGAAACUGACCCGAGGGAACUAUUCACACACAUGGGUAAAAAAGGAUUUUCUUUAGUUUAGUAAUUAUCUGCUGUGGCAGAUUUACAUUCAUGGCUGUUACUUUAUUAACAGAAAUGUUUUACAAACAUUUUGCUUUCAUUGCAACUUUCUGGAUAUUUAACAUUUUAAGUUUUUCUGCUCACUGAAAAAUAAAUCUUAUCUGUUUACACAAACAAAUAAACUAAAAUCUAGAUUUUGAAAUCUAAUCACAUAUUUUCACAGUUUUAUUAAUUUAAAAAAUUCAUUUACGCUCAUUUAAAGUGCUUCUAUCUGUGGUCAUGUGAUGCCUUUGAGUUCUUGCACAUGUUCACUGUUGAGUACAGGACCUUCUCUUCAGCCAAUCCGGUUCCUCUCCUGGUGGUGGGGCGGGGCUUGUCUGGAUGCUUCAGGCUGGAAUAAUGCAAAGACUCUUCCUGCAGAGACACAAAGAGUAAAAGAUCUGAUUAAACUGCAGGUCAUCAUGCUGCAGGUUCUCUACAUCUGGCUUCCCUGCACUGCGUGGUGCUCAGCACAGGCCUGUGAAUCCUCUGAAUCUCAGCGUUCAGCUGUGCUGAAGAUAAAAGCUGCCAAAUAUUUAUGUUCAUGUUUCAGUGAAAGCACCUUUUCAGAUUUUACUGGCAAAACAUAAAGAAACGAGGGUUGGUUCAAGACUUUUGCACAGUGCUGUGCUGCAUGUGGAGC
ensembl:lncRNA